rnacentral:rRNA from 1 species
UACGAAGGGGGCUAGCGUUGCUCGGAAUCACUGGGCGUAAAGCGCACGUAGGCGGAUCUUUAAGUCAGGGGUGAAAUCCCAAGGCUCAACCUUGGAACUGCCUUUGAUACUGGGGAUCUCGAGUCCGGAAGAGGUGAGUGGAACUCCGAGUGUAGAGGUGAAAUUCGUAGAUAUUCGGAAGAACACCAGUGGCGAAGGCGGCUCACUGGUCCGGUACUGACGCUCAGGCACGAAAGCGUGGGGAGCAAACAGG